CUUGGCGGCCAUAGCGAGUUGGUACCACCCCUUCCCUUCCCGAACAGGACCGUGAAACGACUCAGCGCCGAUGAUAGUGCAGAUCCCUGUGUGAAAGUAGGUCUCCGCCAAGC
rnacentral:rRNA from 13 species